AGAGUGCUGGCCUUUUGCUGAAAGCUCCAGUUCUGUUGUUUUAAAGUAAAGACAGGCAUGGGACUAAAACACACUGGCUCCUGAACAUGCUUCUUAGGUCUGCUAAAAUUGCUCUCCUGCAGCAAGUGAGAUGGCUAGAAGAAAUGUUCCAGGGACAUUUAAGCAUUCAGAUAUCUCAAGCAUUAGAAAUUCUUAUCAUCUAUGAACACUUAAGAUACACUGCAACUCUUUCAAGAAGAAGCAGUGUUUGUUGCCUAAGGCACUCCAGAAAGAGUUAAAACUUAUGGUGAAAUAUGUCAGCAGGAGCAGUAGCAAAAGAACAGAACUGUGGUUAAGGAAAGAACUUCCAGUAAUAAUUACAUCUUGUUCUGACUACUGUCACUUGCCUGAGGUAGUUCAGAAUAUGUUUUACAGUACCAACUCUUGGUCUUCAAGUGAUAUGGACUUUAUGUCACACAUUUCUGUUAUUGGUUAGACUUGAGCAAUGACUUGUCAAAAGGACUUAAGAAUGCAGAGUAUCAAUACAGAUUUGGAAGAUUUUCUGAAAAAAAUCAUACUUGACAUGCUAAAGGGAAGGGAUGCCAUCCAGAGGGACCUUGACAGUCUAGAGAGGUGAGCUCAUGUGAACCUCAUGAAGUUCAACAAGGCCAAGUGCGAGGUCCUGCAGCUGGACUGGGGCAAUCCCAAGCACAAGUGAAGGCUGGGUGGAGGAGGCUUGAGAGUUACACUGAGGAGGAGUUGGGAUUGUUGGUUGAUGAGAAACUCAACAUGAUCCAGCAGGGUGUACUGGCAGCUUAAAAAGCCAACUGCAUCCUGGGCUCCAUCAAAACAAGAGUGAUCAGCAAGGUGAGGGAAGUGAUCCUCCCCUUAUACUCCACUUUCAUGAGACCCCACUUGGAUUCAUCUCUGGAAUCCUCAGCACAAGGAUGUGGAUCUAUUGGAGGGAGUCCAGAGGAAGCCACAAAAAUUAUCAUAGAUCUGGAGCACCUCUCCUCUGAAAAUAGGCUGAGAGAGAUGAUGUUGGUCAGCCUGGAGAAGGCAAGGCUCCAGGAAGACCUUACAGCAGCCUUCCAAUACCUAAGGGGGGCCAGCCAGAAAGCUGGAGAGGGAUUCUUUAUCAGGGAGUAUAGCAAAAGGACAAAGGAUAAUGAUUCUAAACUAAAAGAAAAUAGGUUCAGAUUAAAUUCUAAGAAGAAAUUAUUUACAUCUUAUUUACAAAUUAAAAACUAAGCAUAGCCCAAAUGAUGUCCCGAAUCUCUGUAAUAGUGUGUCAAGAGAAAACAGCAUGUUGUGUCUCCAUUGCUUUGUAUAAGUAGUGUAAACAUAGAAAUCUUCCAUCUCUCUCUAGCGUAUCUAUUUAUUUUAAACACAAGUAGUCUUAAAUGCCCUUUUCCUAACUGAAUUUCAGUAUAAUUCUAGAAAGACAGUAAGAAUAAAGAUCUUGAU
ensembl:lncRNA